GGCGGGGGGACGGCGGGAGCAGGUGUUGACUCCCGGCUGGUGACAGCAGGGGCAGAAAGUCAGGACCCCGUCCUGCGUGUCCCGGAGCCCUCCCCUGUAAGCAGCCGAGGUGACAGCCGGCGUAACUGGGACGGAAUCAAGGGAGAAGACCGUUCCCCUGGUCAGUGUAAAGCUCAGUGGAUGGACUUCCAGAACCUGCAUGCCGGGUCCGCAGCGCCAGGAUUCUGCCAUAGGGGACGUGUGCUCUGCAGAGCGAAAGCCCUGGAGGAUAGCCACGCUGCAGUCUUACCCGCCGUUCUAACCUUGGGAUUCUGGGCACACAGGCAUGCGUGCUCAGCAUGGUUUUCAAGCUCACGGGUCAAGGCCUGGAACCAUCGUCAGCCACGUGGGAAUCCAGUGACUUAACCACAACGCCAUCUGCUGGUCCUGCAGCGUCUCCACUUUCCUGACUCCCUCGUGAAUUAGAGAAACCGCCUGACGCGAUUCACUUCUCACGCGCGAGAAUCCCGUGCUUUCGCUGUUGGGGACCUGCCCUCCGACCCUAGGACUAUCUCCAUCCACAUGGGGAGCGCUGAGGCGCUUGGCCGUCCCUGCACACGUGCACAGCCGAGCCUGCCUGGUCCCUCGCUGAGGCUGAGCCACUUUCUGGGAUGGGAGUCGGCCUAGAGGCAGGCUUUGUCGGACGUCCCAGACUGCCGAGUACAGUCCCGGUGGCAGGGCGAGCAGGGCUUGUAAACAGGUCGGGAUGAGGACUCCUUGAGGGCCUGGGGCAGGAAUGGGGGCUUUCCAGAGGUUUCUGUGAAACCGUCUUUGGUGGUGGUGCUGUCCUCGGGGCCGGGCAGCGUCUAGAAGGGCUGGAGCAAGACUGUAUGACAGGUCCGUUCUGGGAAGAGAACUCAGGCCACGGGGAUGUCUUUAGACCUCCCGUGCCACCUGUGACCGAGGCUGGCACAAGGCGGACGGUGAAGGCGGUGGCAGCGUGGUCCCGGCAGGCCCUAACGACGGUGUGCGGAGGGAACCGCCGGCCGGGAAGGGAAGGGUGUGUGAGCUCGUGCCCCACGUAAGUCGCCCAGGACUCCGGCGCGGGCGUUCACCUGGCAAACGUUUAAGACAGACAGAACUUACUUGUACAGGCGGACUCCAGCGAGAGGUUCUAGGAGCCAGAUCCCAAGGGGCUGACUGUGAGGAGAAUCCCGGCCCCUGCGGGGCUUCAAAACAUGCUGGGCUGCUGCGUUUACGUUCCCAAUCCCUGUGGGCUGGGGCAUGGGGGAGAAGGGACUGUGGCCUGAACACGUCUGCUUGGGGGGUGCCUUCUCUCCCUCUGUCUCUGUUUCUCUCUGGUGAGUCCACCCACCCUCUGCCAAUUAAGAAAUGAAAUAAAAUAAGGUUAUGUUCCCUUCUCAGCAGCUGCUGUCACCGGUACCGUAGCUGAUGUCGUUUUCGAGCUUCUUGGGCCAGUUUUUAACUCAGGAUGAUUGUGUCUCCCAGGGAGUAUUCAGCAAUGUGUGGAGAAUUGUGCUCUUUUUACAUUUAUCUAUUAGUCUAUUUAUUUGCUGCGAUUUUUCAAACUGCAAGGUCCUGGAUUUGAACCAGAGUCGACCAUGUGAGAGUCCAGCACCGUAAACACCAAGCCACUUGCUGGCCCCACGCCUUUAUUUAAUUAAGCAUCAGGAAACCUGGGCGCGGCGCCGUCUGGCUGCCCCGGUGUAGGUUCUCGUGAGCAAACGCCGAGAAACAGGUGAACCUGCGCUUGGGGCUCUGCUCCGCCCCCUCAGACCUCGGCGUUUUGUGGCGCAGCUCCUACCUCCGCUGGCCACAGGGGGGCGGUGUGGAGCUUUCCUGUGGGUUUUCAGGGACGUCUGGGUGAAGCUGCCCGCCCGCCGGAGCCU